UACGUAGGGUGCAAGCGUUUGUCCGGAAUUAUUGGGCGUAAAGAGCUCGUAGGCGGUUUGUCGCGUCUGCUGUGAAAACUGGAGGCUCAACCUCCAGCCUGCAGUGGGUACGGGCAGACUAGAGUGCGGUAGGGGAGAUUGGAAUUCCUGGUGUAGCGGUGGAAUGCGCAGAUAUCAGGAGGAACACCGAUGGCGAAGGCAGCAUCUCGGGACGUACUGACGCUGAGAGCGAAAGCGUGGGGAGCAACAGGAUUAGAAC
rnacentral:rRNA from 1 species